CUGGUUGAUCCUGCCAGUAGUCAUAUGCUUGUCUCAAAGACUAAGCCAUGCAUGUCUAAGUAUAAAUGUUAUACAGUGGAACUGCGAAUGGCUCAUUAAAACAGUUAUAGUUUAUUUGAUAAUCGAAUUUACAUGGAUAACCGUGGUAAUUCUAGAGCUAAUACAUGCUGUUAAGCCUGACUUCUCGGAAGGGCUGUAUUUAUUAGAUAACAAAUCAAUAUUCCCCGUGUCUAUUGUGAUGACUCAUAGUAACUGAUCGAAUCGCAUGGUCCUUGACCGCGAUACAUCAUUCAAGUUUCUGCCCCAUCAGCUUUCGAUGGUAGUGUAUUGGACUACCAUGGCUCUAACGGGUAACGGAGGAUUAGGGUUCGAUUCCGGAGAGGGAGCCUGAGAAACGGCUACCACAUCUAAGGAAGGCAGCAGGCGCGUAAAUUACCCAAUCCUGACUCAGGGAGGUAGUGACAAGAAAUAACGGACCGAGGCUUUGCUUCGGGAUUGCAAUGAGUAGAAUUUAAACCCCUUUAUGAGGAUCAAUUGGAGGGCAAGUCUGGU
rnacentral:rRNA from 1 species